UUGAACGCUGGCGGCAUGCUUUACACAUGCAAGUCGAACGGUAACAGGCCGCAAGGUGCUGACGAGUGGCGAACGGGUGAGUAGUGCAUCGGAACGUGCCCAGUCGUGGGGGAUAACUACUCGAAAGAGUAGCUAAUACCGCAUACGAUCUAUGGAUGAAAGCGGGGGACCGUAAGGCCUCGCGCGAUUGGAGCGGCCGAUGUCAGAUUAGGUAGUUGGUGGGGUAAAGGCUCACCAAGCCAACGAUCUGUAGCUGGUCUGAGAGGACGACCAGCCACACUGGGACUGAGACGCGGCCCAGACUCCUACGGGAGGCAGCAGUGGGGAAUUUUGGACAAUGGGCGCAAGCCUGAUCCAGCAAUGCCGCGUGCAGGAAGAAGGCCUUCGGGUUGUAAACUGCUUUUGUACGGAACGAAACGGCUCUGGUUAAUACCCGGGGCUAAUGACGGUACCGUAAGAAUAAGCACCGGCUAACUACGUG
rnacentral:rRNA from 1 species